rnacentral:rRNA from 1 species
GAUGAACGCUGGCGGCGUGCCUAAUACAUGCAAGUCGAGCGAAUGGAUUAAGAGCUUGCUCUUAUGAAGUUAGCGGCGGACGGGUGAGUAACACGUGGGUAACCUGCCCAUAAGACUGGGAUAACUCCGGGAAACCGGGGCUAAUACCGGAUAACAUUUUGAACCGCAUGGUUCGAAAUUGAAAGGCGGCUUCGGCUGUCACUUAUGGAUGGACCCGCGUCGCAUUAGCUAGUUGGUGGGGUAACGGCUCACCAAGGCAACGAUGCGUAGCCGACCUGGGAGGGUGAUCGGCCAAACUGGGACUGAGACACGGCCCAGACUCCUACGGGAGGCAGCAGUAGGGAAUCUUCCGCAAUGGACGAAAGGCUGACGGAGCAACGCCGCGUGGGUGAUGAAGGCUUUCGGGUCGUAAAACUCUGUUGUUAGGGAAGAACAAGUGCUAGUUGAAUAAGCUGGCACCUUGACGGUACCUAACCAGAAAGCCACGGCUAACUACGUGCCAGCAGCCGCGGUAA